GUGCUGCCGAUUUACUAAAGAACAAAUACAAAAUUUCUCCUAUGUCAUUGAUAUUUUUUAUCACAAGGUCCUAUUCUAUUCUAUUCUACCAUUUAGUGACCGCCUUCUAAUUGAAGAUUAUGUCACAGGAGGAAACUUACAACAAGACAUAGAUUGAAAAAUGUAAAAUUUAAAAAAAAAUACGAAGAGUUAAAAAAUAAUAGGUUUUGU
rnacentral:lncRNA from 1 species